CCUACGGGUGGCAGCAGUGAGGAAUAUUGGGCAAUGGGCUGAAGCCUGAACCAGCCAAGUCGCGUGAGGGAAGACUGCCCUAUGGGUUGUAAACCUCUGUUGUCAGGGAGCAACGCCGGCUACGUGUAGCCGGACGGAGAGAACCUGAAGAAAAAGCAUCGGCGAACUCCGUGCCAGCAGCCGCGGUAAUACGGAGGAGGCGAGCGUGAGCCGGAUUGAUUGGGUUUAAAGGGUUCGUCGGCGGAAUGCCAAGUCAGCGGUAAACUCGCGGGGCUCAACCUCGCUCCGCCGUUGAAACGGGCGUUCUUGAGUGUGCGUGACGUCUGCGGACUGCGUGGUGUAGCGG
rnacentral:rRNA from 1 species